rnacentral:piRNA from 1 species
UAGUAAAUUGUGCUUUAUCUUGCUGGC